GGCUUACCAAGGCGAUGAUGCAUAGCCGAGUUGAGAGACUGAUCGGCCACAAUGGAACUGAGACACGGUCCAUACUCCUACGGGAGGCAGCAGUAGGGAAUCUUCCACAAUGGGCGCAAGCCUGAUGGAGCAACACCGCGUGAGUGAAGAAGGGUUUCGGCUCGUAAAGCUCUGUUGUUGGAGAAGAACGUGCGUGAGAGUAACUGUUCACGCAGUGACGGUAUCCAACCAGAAAGUCACGGCUAACUACGUGCCAGCAGCCGCGGUAAUACGUAGGUGGCAAGCGUUAUCCGGAUUUAUUGGGCGUAAAGCGAGCGCAGGCGGUUGCUUAGGUCUGAUGUGAAAGCCUUCGGCUUAACCGAAGAAGUGCAUCGGAAACCGGGCGACUUGAGUGCAGAAGAGGACAGUGGAACUCCAUGUGUAGCGGUGGAAUGCGUAGAUAUAUGGAAGAACACCAGUGGCGAAGGCGGCUGUCUGGUCUGCAACUGACGCUGAGGCUCGAAAGCAUGGGUAGCGAACAGGAUUAGAUACCCUGGUAGUCCAUGCCGUAAACGAUGAGUGCUAGGUGUUGGAGGGUUUCCGCCCUUCAGUGCCGGAGCUAACGCAUUAAGCACUCCGCCUGGGGAGUACGACCGCAAGGUUGAAACUCAAAGGAAUUGACGGGGGCCCGCACAAGCGGUGGAGCAUGUGGUUUAAUUCGAAGCUACGCGAAGAACCUUACCAGGUCUUGACAUCUUGCGCUAACCUUAGAGAUAAGGCGUUCCCUUCGGGGACGCAAUGACAGGUGGUGCAUGGUCGUCGUCAGCUCGUGUCGUGAGAUGUUGGGUUAAGUCCCGCAACGAGCGCAACCCUUGUUACUAGUUGCCAGCAUUGAGUUGGGCACUCUAGUGAGACUGCCGGUGACAAACCGGAGGAAGGUGGGGACGACGUCAGAUCAUCAUGCCCCUUAUGACCUGGGCUACACACGUGCUACAAUGGACGGUACAACGAGUCGCAAACUCGCGAGAGUAAGCUAAUCUCUUAAAGCCGUUCUCAGUUCGGACUGUAGGCUGCAACUCGCCUACACGAAGUCGGAAUCGCUAGUAAUCGCGGAUCAGCAUGCCGCGGUGAAUACGUUCCCGGGCCUUGUACACACCGCCCGUCACACCAUGGGAGUUUGUAACGCCCAAAGUCGGUGGCCUAACCUUUAUGGAGGGAGCCGCCUAAGGCGGGACAGAUGACUGGGGUGAAGUCGUAACAAGGUAGCCGUAGGAGAACCUGCGGCUGGAUCACCU
rnacentral:rRNA from 2 species